rnacentral:rRNA from 1 species
GACGGAGGAUGCAAGCGUGAUCCGGAAUUAUUGGGCGUAAAGCGUCCGCAGGUGGCUGUUCAAGUCUGCUGUCAAAGCGCAGAGCUUAACUCUGUACAGGCGGUGGAAACUGAAGAGCUAGAGUAUGGUAGGGGUAGAGGGAAUUCCCGGUGUAGCGGUGAAAUGCGUAGAUAUCGGGAAGAACACCAGUGGCGAAAGCGCUCUACUGGGCCAUAACUGACACUGAGGGACGAAAGCUAGGGGAGCGAAAGGG